rnacentral:rRNA from 1 species
AGUAACACGUGGGUAACCUGCCCUGAUGAUCGGGACAACCCGAGGAAACUCGGGCUAAUACCGGAUGUGCCCUUCAGUCAUAAGGCUGACGGGGAAAGGAAGCUUCGGCCUCCGCAUCGGGAUGGGCCCGCGGCCCAUUAGCUUGUUGGUGAGGUAACGGCUCACCAAGGCGACGAUGGGUAGCUGGUCUGGGAGGACGAUCAGCCACACUGGGACUGAGACACGGCCCAG